rnacentral:rRNA from 1 species
UACAGAGGGUGCAAGCGUUAAUCGGAAUCACUGGGCGUAAAGCGUGCGUAGGUGGUCAUGCAAGUCGGGUGUGAAAUCCCCGGGCUUAACCUGGGAACUGCAUUCGAUACUACAUGGCUAGAGUAUGGUAGAGGGAAGUGGAAUUUCCGGUGUAGAGGUGAAAUGCGUAGAUAUCGGAAGGAAGACCAAUGGCGAAGGCA